rnacentral:rRNA from 1 species
UACGUAGGGGGCGAGCGUUGUCCGGAAUCAUUGGGCGUAAAGCGCGUGUAGGCGGUUCGGUAAGUCCGCUGUGAAAGUCGGGGGGCUCAACCCUCGGAUGCCGGUGGAUACUGUCGGGCUUGAGUACGGAAGAGGCGAGUGGAAUUCCUGGUGUAGCGGUGAAAUGCGCAGAUAUCAGGAGGAACACCAAUUGCGAAGGCAGCUCGCUGGGACGUUACUGACGCUGAGACGCGAAAGCGUGGGGAGCAAACAGG